GGGGGUGUGGCGAAAUGGAUAACGCGUUGCCCUCCGGAGGCAAAGAUUGUGGGUUCGAGUCCCGUCACCCUCG
rnacentral:tRNA from 1 species